UACGGAGGAUCCAAGCGUUAUCCGGAAUCAUUGGGUUUAAAGGGUCCGUAGGCGGUUUGGUAAGUCAGCGGUGAAAGCCCAUCGCUCAACGGUGGAACGGCCAUUGAUACUGCCAGACUUGAAUUAUUAGGAAGUAACUAGAAUAUGUAGUGUAGCGGUGAAAUGCUUAGAGAUUACAUGGAAUACCAAUUGCGAAGGCAGGUUACUACUAAUGGAUUGACGCUGAUGGACGAAAAGCGUGGGGUAGCGAAACAGG
rnacentral:rRNA from 1 species